GGCGCAUCCAAGGCUCGAGGAGGACAACCGAAGCAAGCUUGAAGAGGUUUGAAUUCAAUCACUUAAGGUGGGGUUUACUUUUAUCUGUAAGCGUAGUUGUUACAUGGUUAUAAUCAUUGUUGUGUUGUGCGUCAUUCAUAUGAACUAAUGGGACCCACAAGGGGUCGGAUCCACAAGGGAUCAAAGAGCUGAACGGCCCACAAGGGGUCAGGUCCACGAAGGGACCGAGACUAGUCUCACAAGAUGUCAGCUAAGUGAAAAUUAUAAGAGUUCAACAUGUUAUGAUUCAUUACACAAUUGGUUAUAACUGCUUGCAGUGUUUACCCCACUGAGUGUGCUUGCACACUCAUACCCUAUUAUUUAUGAUUCUUUUCAGGUUAAGGAGUUGACGGCAAGACGGCAGACAUGGAGCUCCACAUUCUCCCGUUCUAUUAUAUGAUGAAGUAUUAUAUGUUGCUGUUUUUGGUAAAUAUAUCUUGCUACUAACCAACUUAGCCUCUUCCAAUUUUGGUGGGUCGAGACUUUAUAUAUAUUGGUUUAUGAUCAUGCAUUUUGAUGACGGCUGUGACCGAAUAUAUAUAUUUUGUUUACCGUAUGUGUAGUUACGAGCUGUGCCUCGAACACGUUAAUUAUACUUUUAAACUUGAUGGUUUUGUAUGUACUCCAUCUUUUUAUAUAUAUAAAUAUGAUGCUUAGAUAAAGUUAUUAUUGAAUGUCGUUUAUAUAACUUACAGCUUCC
rnacentral:lncRNA from 1 species